rnacentral:misc_RNA from 1 species
CUCACGCAGACGACGACGCGAAGAGCGAACUCGCUGGACGAGAUGAUCUUUACCAUCACCAAUGCGGUCCUCUCCGCGAUCUUCCUUAUGCUCGUCGUGGUGCCGCCGCUGUACAUCUACAGCCCUGACGAUAACGCCGGAGAGUCGAAUCGGCUGCCGAGCGCUGGUGAGGUCCUCCUAGAUGAGAGCGUGACUCAGGGCGUGAAGCAGAGGCUGUAUCUGCUGGUAGUCAUCCCGACGUGUACCACGGUAAACGCCCUCUUCCUGUACUUUGCCUACUACCGCCCGGUGCGUUUUGUCCACUACCGUGUCGAGCUGAACUUGCUGACGCUACGGUGGACCUUGGAGGCGAGGCGCCAGCAGCUGCAGAAGAGCGGCGUGCUCGCCGUGGGCAACCGCAGCAUCGUCGGCUGCGGCGUGUCUGCCUCGAGUUUUGUCAUAAACGGUAGCAGCGUCGCCUCCUUGAACCGAUCAAAGAUGUCAGCGCGAAACGUCCACCUCGAUCAAGGCAGCAACCACGCCCAGCGACUCGCGAGCACCGUGAACUGGGAGUGGCGCCGGCACGUGCGGCCCAAGAGCGUGCGCAAGGAUACGUGGGUGAGUUCGGCCGUCUUUGCGGAGAUCGGGGACCUGCGCGACCAGGUGGAGCAGCACUUUCUGACAAAGGCAAAUGUGGCUGAGGCGAAUUUUACGAAGGCGGUGGUGAAAACGGUCGGCGUCUUCGUGCCGCCCACCCCCGCAGCGCUGCUGGGUCAGGUGACGGACGUCGCCGCGGAGGCAAAGCAAGGGACUGCCGUCUACCUCUCAAGCCGCCCACCGCUGUCCACGCUCGGCUCCCCCCGCUCAGGCCCUGGGAACACGGCACGGCACGGCAUGCUCAGCGAUGGCAAGGCCGCGCCGCGGCCCCAGGGCAAUGCUGCACCACUGGUGCCGGCAGAGAGUCUCCACCCUGAUCUCCCACGGGGCUCGACCAUGCCGGCGAACAGCAGCGGCGGCGGUAGCGCGGCGAGCUGUGUCGGCUCCGAAUUCGCCCUUUUCCGCGGAGGCGAGAGCACCUCCUGGGGCCGGAGCAACACUGGCGCAGACUUACCACAAGCCUUGCGAGGCAACGUGCUGGAGCGGACGCACGAGCCGGCUGGCAUGUAAAUGUCUCCUACCGAUCCGUGGAACGGCGAGGCGAUGGUGCAUGUGUAUUGGCGCGGAGGGUGGUGAGCAUAGCAGAAGCAGCAGCAGCAGCAACAACGGCCACUACGGCGGUGAUGGCGCGAAGCGUCACGUCGAGAGUCGCUGCAGCCAAGGUGGCGAAAAGUGGCGAUGGCCUCACGAGCGUCGCUGUCCGAGGUGCGCUUUUCUAUUUUUCCUUCAGCGACUGGAACUCCCGUGUUCGCGCGCGUUGGUACGCACAUUGGUAUUCUCUCUCUUGCAGUACUGGUGGUGGUCCUCAUCGUGGUGGGUCGCUGGUCUCUGUGUCCUUCCCUUUUCGGUGGGGGAGCCCUGCAGCGCUAUCGUUCUUUUCCCGGAUGUGGUCGUUCGUGUACCUGUGCCGCGCUGCUGCAUGCCUGUAGGUGCUCACCCGCAGUCCCGACAGCCUAUCAUUGUACGUUUUCUUUGUUGUUUGCAUGCAUCGGUGCCAUCGAGGCCCCAUACCUCCCUGUCCCGCUUGUUCCCCGCGCAGGGCCACGAGCUGCGUUCGCAGUGUCUGGAAUGGAGGGAAGGUCGGUUGGGUGGCGGCACGGCGGACGUGGGAGGGCUAGCGAGCAAAGAAGUAAAACGAGCAGUCCAUUGAAACUGGCCGACACCAGAAAUUCAUGACGUCGCGAUGCAGCGCGGCGUGUGCGUGCGACUUUGUGAACGCGUGAGCGAAGGACUCGAAGAGCACACGUCACGAGCACGCCCCUCCUCCCUUCUCCCCCUACGUGCCGGUAUUUCCUUUGGUGCAGAGUGUAAUGCGCGUGGUUGCAGGAAAACGAAGGUGCAGAGGUAAAUGCAUUGCAGAUGCAAGGUGCAGCACCGAGCAGGCAGCGCACCCCUCCCUACCCGACUCCGUCCGCCUCUCCUCUUCGCAUUGGCACGCACCAUCGCUGGUCUUCGUGUUCGCCUUCUUUGGGUGCUGUUACCUUCGCUGGCCAACCUCUGUCUUCAUUUCUUGUUGUUCCCGCCUAAUGUACGGUUCCAG